rnacentral:rRNA from 1 species
AACGAACGCUGGCGGCGCGCCUAAUACAUGCAAGUCGAGCGAGAAGGUGUAGCAAUACACUUGUAAAGCGGCGAACGGGUGAGGAAUACAUGGGUAACCUACCCUCGAGUGGGGAAUAACUAGCCGAAAGGUUAGCUAAUACCGCGUACGCUUCCGGGACUGCGGUUCCGGAAGGAAAGCGAUACUGUGAGUAUCGCGCUCUUGGAUGGGCUCAUGUCCUAUCAGCUUGUUGGUGAGGUAACGGCUCACCAAGGCUUCGACGGGUAGCUGGUCUGAGAGGACGAUCAGCCACACUGGCACUGCGACACGGGCCAGACUCCUACGGGAGGCAGCAGUAAGGAAUAUUGCGCAAUGGACGACAGUCCGACGCAGCGACGCCGCGUGGGGGACGAAGGUCUUCGGGAUUGUAAACCCCUUUCGGGAGGGAAGAUGGAAUGGGGUAACC